CUACGGGGCGCAGCAGUAGGGAAUCUUCCGCAAUGGACGCAAGUCUGACGGAGCAACGCCGCGUGAGUGAAGAAGGUUUUCGGAUCGUAAAGCUCUGUUGCCAGGGAAGAACGUCUUGGAGAGUAACUGCUCUAGGAGUGACGGUACCUGAGAAGAAAGCCCCGGCUAACUACGUGCCAGCAGCCGCGGUAAUACGUAGGGGGCAAGCGUUGUCCGGAAUUAUUGGGCGUAAAGCGCGCGCAGGCGGCUGUUUAAGUCUGGUGUUUAAACUUGAGGCUCAACUUCAGGUCGCACUGGAAACUGGAUAGCUUGAGUGCAGAAGAGGAGAGUGGAAUUCCACGUGUAGCGGUGAAAUGCGUAGAGAUGUGGAGGAACACCAGUGGCGAAGGCGACUCUCUGGGCUGUAACUGACGCUGAGGCGCGAAAGCGUGGGGAGCAAACAGGAUUAGAUACCCGUGUAGUC
rnacentral:rRNA from 1 species